ACUGUAAAUAAGUCAAACGCAGAGACAUAUUUGUUUGCUCCUCUUUCCCGAAGUCAACAUGAAUGACUACAUUUAUACACUUAAACAUUUUUCUAACGCGGAUUUUCAGUCGAAGCAGGAAAUAAUAAGUAAAGGAGCUGAAAGGUCCAAACGGAAAGAAAACACAGGGUUUGUGAACGUCCUGCUGGAAACGGCCUUUUCCUGCCUCCUUUUCUCAACUCGUGUCCAGGACAGACUUGGCUUUGGAUGAACGGAUAUAUUUGUUCGGAAUGAGCGGCUUUAUUUAUAAGGUCAGCAGGGACGGAAAGGUCAAAGGUUUGUGGCGUACAUGAUUUGUUAUCUGUGCGAGUCUCCAGCUGGAACUUGAACUAAGCCGUCUUCUUCCUGAUGUUUGAAAAUUAGCCGCUGUUAACUGACCAGCAGUGACCGGUUUGUUCCCAGCGGUCUCAGUAACCGUCCCACCAGUCCGUGGGUCCGUCUGAGCAUCAGAUCCCGUCCAUCAUCAUGGACGCUCAGCUGUGAUCCUGGGCUUCCUGCUCUGUCUGACAGGUCAGAGGUCGUUUCCAUCCACCGCUGAGAAAACUGGUCAAAAGUCACAGAAAGAAAAAAGUGAAUAGUUUGGAUUUAAAUGAGAAAAUCUUAUUCAGAAAAAGUUGCUGCGUUUCUAUAAACUCUAUAAUAGUUAAAUGUGACAUUUCAAAAAUAAUGGAAAUUCAGAAAGUUAAAAACAGUUUUGUUUUUUUUGCUCAAAAGUUUUGCUGCUUGUAUAUUGAUUUUAUGGAAACAUUUCUUUGUAUCACUGAUCAUUAACCAGCUGUUGCUACUGCUGGAAACCACACAAACUUAUUUCCUCGUGUUUUUACAGAAGCGACACGUUGUGACAAAGUCUGUCACGUUUUGUUAUUGUUUUGUUUCCAUCAGCCUUUUCUAACGUGACGCAUUAAAACUCCACAGAGAACGGUUCCGUGGUGAAGACCGGACUCACUGACCUCUGCUCCGUUUGCAGCUCCGCUUUACCGGGCGAGGAAGAGGAGGGUCCAGGAGGACGAAGCUCCUCCAGUCUGCCCAGCGAGGAUCCGAACCGGUCCCAUCAACGUCGUUCUCUUCCGUUUGUGAAGCGUGAAAACAGAGGCUAACCGCGGAGCGAGCAGCUUCUGUCCUCACGCCGCCAGACUCUGAAAGUUUUCCCUCUCAGCCUGUUGGAGGUUUGAAACAAGGCCUCUCUGAAGAAAAGCAGCGACGACCAGGUCCAUCAGGGUUUAUCGGUCAGCAGAAACCUCGGCCUUCCUGACCCGUUAGAUCGCUAUAAAACCGUCGCAGUGAAGACGUACAACUUGCUCUGUUUUACCGUGUCUGGAACAGAAUAAUCUAGUGUCUAGAUAGUGACUAACAUUUGCGUUUCAAUUAUGUGAUUGAAGUGUUUUCGAAACAUUUAGGAUUGAAGAUUAAAAACUUAAAACAUUGUUUGUGUGUAAAUUUUUUCCACCAGAAAUCCUCCAGUUCAGUUGUAGCUUCACCUGAUUGACAUCCUGUAAAAACUUCAUUUCAAUCACCUUCAGCAUCCAGUUCUGAACCAGUGAAUCUAUAUAUUGAUCAGGAUCAAUACAGAUCAUCCACACUCUGUAUGGAUGUUCAGUCCAGCAGAAGUUGUUGAGCUUUUCAGAUAUUUCAGUUGCAGAUUCAUCCUUUGCUCUACAUGAUCAAACGUUCACUAAAGUAACACUGUUAUAGUUUUAGAGACUUUGUCUUUUUUUUUAAAAAGGAAUAAAAUGAUGUUUAUAGUCUUGUAUUUGUGAUAAUGUAUGAAAUCAUCUCCAGUAGCUCACGAACUGCAGAAAGUUUCAGUUUUGGAAGAUUUGGUUGUUUUGAAAUGUUAUUUGAAGACGCUGCAGGUGCAGCUUCUGUCCACUAGACGGCGACAUUCCGCAGCCUGCUGGGGACAGUUGAUGAUUUUAUUGUCUAAAUUUAGUUUUAUUGAUAUAAUUUAAGGUCAAUUAUUAUGUUUGUGAGAAGGGCUUUAUGACUAAGCUGUAUGUAUUUAUAUUUAUGUAAAAGUGACACAUUUAGGCAAAAGGUUUUAUAAAUUUCCGUUGUCUUUGCACCAAAAAAGGUUAAAAUGACCAAAGUCCCCAGAAAAUGAUGCGAAUGGACCCAAAAGCAGAAAAGUGCAGCACAAUCAUCAUAGUAAAAAUGUCAAGAAGAGACUGAAAGUGAAUGAAUCAUCCGGAGGAGGUAAUCAGCGCUGAUUGCGCUGAUUGGAGUCACCUGUGGGGAACCGGAUAAAAAGGAACGGGAUGAGCCAGAGGAGUUUAGUUGAGCUCUGGAUCAGGUUCGGUUCGGUGGGUCUCCAGGUUGCGCUCCAGAGUUUUUCAGCGUCGUUUCCAUCUGUGAGUCCACGGGUGGGUUUCAUCUGCAGCCGAGCGGCUCCUUAAAACUUCAUCUGGCGUUUGGAGCAGCGAUAGUAAAGGCUGUUUUCAGAGCAGCUUCUUUGUUGGCUUCCAGUCCGCCGCAGACAGCAGGUGAAACUGAUUGUGACCGAUUCCUGAUUCAUGGUCAAACACAGCCUCCUGGUUCGGUUCUGUGAGGUCCACCAUGUCGGACGAGCUGACAGCAGCAGAUUUAGAUUGUAGUGUUUGUGGUUCUGUUCCUGGAGGAAUAAACGGCUGAUGCCUGUGUAGCUCCUGACAGGUGAGUCUGUAAAUGUAGUAGACUUAUUGCGAAUUUAAACUUUUUAUUUUUAACAUGCUUAAAUCCCAACACAGUGAAGAGAAGCCAAAGUGUUUCAGGCAGUUAAAUGCCUUUAGUAGCACCAGACCUCUAUCGCCCCCUUAAAAUGAGACUUUAUGUUCAGUUCAGCAAACGUUUAUUUUGUGGUUAAACUCAUCAGUAACAUUGUUUUUUGUCUGCAGAGCCUGGAGGUGAACUUUGACCUGAAGCUGCCCUGGUUCAUCCUCAAUAUAAGUAAAAUGUUUAAUCAUAGUUUGUCUCCUCCAGCUUUACUUCUGCAGAUUCUCUUUGCUGAAUACCAACUGAGCCAGAUGUCCAACAGGUGUGGAACCUUGUUUCCAUGGUUACAGGCAUGGCCUGCUUAUUGAUGAUUGUUUCCAGCCUUCAUGAUCUGUACUGAAUGUUUUGCAUCUUGUGUUGAAUACAUGUGAUUGUUGCUACUUUUGAGUAGCAACAAUCACAUGUAUUGAGUUUUUUGUUUAAAUAAAAAGUAAAAACCCUGCUUGUUUCAUGUGCCUUUUCCUCUUUUAGACCCUUGAAAAGUUA